CACGUAGGGCGCAAGCGUUGUCCGGAAUUAUUGGGCGUAAAGAGCUUGUAGGCGGUCUGUCGCGUCUGCUGUGAAAAUCCGGGGCUCAACCCCGGACUUGCAGUGGGUACGGGCAGACUAGAGUGUGGUAGGGGAGACUGGAAUUCCUGGUGUAGCGGUGAAAUGCGCAGAUAUCGGGAGGAACACCAAUUGCGAAGGCAGCUCGCUGGGACGGUACUGACGCUGAGGCGCGAAAGCGUGGGGAGCAAACAGG
rnacentral:rRNA from 1 species